rnacentral:guide_RNA from 1 species
AUCAAAAAUCAAUAUUAAGCAAUUGAGGUAUAGAAUAAGAUAUAAUUUAU